rnacentral:rRNA from 1 species
AACGUAGGAGCCAAGCGUUAUCCGAAUUUACUGGGCGUAAAGCGCGUGCAGGCGGUUCGGUAAGUUGGGUGUGAAAUCUCCUGGCUCAACUGGGAGAGGUCGCUCAAUACUGUCGGACUGGAGGAUGGUAGAGGGAGGUGGAAUUCCCGGUGUAGUGGUGAAAUGCGUAGAUAUCGGGAGGAAUACCAGUGGCGAAGGCGGCCUCCUGGACCAUUCCUGACGCUCAGACGCGAAAGCUAGGGGAGCAAACGGG